UCAGAGUUGAGCUGGGGGAGGCUUCAGAGGCUCUGCAUGCCCAGGAGGCUUCUCUGAGACUGGGAAGGAGUGGAAACUCAGUAGCCCGUGGUCCUGGUUGCGCGCUCCCUCCCAUGUCUUCAUUAUCUGAUUUGGUAAAAUAUCUACAAGACGGGGGAGUCCGGGCUGCUUUCUUUGACACUGGUCAUCACUCCACACCUAGACGCUAUGUCCAUGUCUGGAAGAUGCUUUUAAGGAAGUUUUGAUGCAGAGAAGAGUGGCCGGUGCUCUUCCUCGCGUGCCACCAUCUGCUUACUUCCAGAAGCUAAUUAUUUUCAUGUGACUGAUGUGACUAAUAUUUUUUAACGCCUGCAGGACACACUGGGACCUGCAGUGAAACAAAGGACAUCUGUAGCAAAGCCUUUCAACUCUAGAUUGUCCUCUCCAUCCUAGAAAUGGAGGAGGAAGUGAUAGCUGAAGUUGGUUAAUUAAAUGCUCUGAUCUUCUGUAAAAUACCUAGCCAGUGUUCUUCAAGACUCUCAAGGUCAUGGAAACCUUGGAAAAACUGAGAAACUUCCAUCUCAGACCAGAGGACACUAAGGAGAAAUAAUGAGUAAAUGCAAUUUGAUAUCCUGGAUUGGAUCCUGGAACAGAAGAAAGACAUUGGAAAAGCAGGUGAAAUCCAAAUAAAGUGUGGACUUUAGUUAAUAGCGAUGUACCAAUAUUAGUCCUUUGGUUUUGACUAAUGUACUAUGGUUCUGUAAGAUGUUAACAUUAAGGAAAAUGGGUGAAGGACAUUCAGAAACUCCGUAAACUAUAUUUGUAACUUUUUUGUAAAUCUAAAAUUAUUCCAGAA
rnacentral:lncRNA from 10 species